GAUGAAGAACGUAGCGAAAUGCGAUAAGUAAUGCGAAUUGCAGAAUUCAGUGAGUCAUCGAAUCUUUGAACGCACAUUGCGCCCGCCAGUAUUCUGGCGGGCAUGCCUGUCCGAGCGUCAUUUCAACCCUCGAACCCCUCCGGGGGGUCGGCGUUGGGGAUCGGCCCUUUACGGGGCCGGCCCCGAAAUACAGUGGCGGUCUCGCCGCAACCUCUCCUGCGCAGUAGUUUGCACACUCGCAUCGGGAGCGCGGCGCGUCCACAGCCGUUAAACACCCCAAACUUCUGAAAUGUUGACCUCGGAUCAGGUAGGAAUACCCGCUGAACUUAAGCAUAUCAAUAAGCGGAGGA
rnacentral:misc_RNA from 1 species